CACCCCACGGUAGGAGGGCGAAGGCGGCGGCGCGGGAUUCAAGAGUACAUUAGCUUGUGCAGACAGUGAGGGAGGAGAGUCUUGCUCAAGGACACAGCAGCAGCAUCUGGGGGAGCUGGAAUCACGCUGCUAACCUGUGGGCCAGUGGAUCUGAUGGGAUUCGAACCACAAACCUUUGUCUGGGGGCUGGAUACUUUCAAGAGGGGCCACGGAUCAACAGCUGCGUGCAUUCAUCUGGCCUCCUGCAACGCUCCGGCUUCUUCCGGACCCAUUCAUGGAGGAGCCAGUGACGUAGCAAGUGGGUGGAUAACAUGUGCAGAUUAUACGCAGACCUGAGAGCAGCGGACCCUCACAUGCGAAGAGUUAAGCUGGAUUUAAAACUACAGCAGAUUUGUGUGUGUCCGGGCCGGAAGAGACUAAUACCUUAGGUGAUGGGAGCUUUUUCUGUAUAUGACAAGUCCAGGGUCUGUUUUACAAGCUAAAGUGCGGAUUAUAGUGCAUUAGAAAGUGAUAGAGGCAUGUGGUGGUAUUAAAGGCAACUGCAGACAAACUUCUAGGAUUUCUGUGAACUUUCUGUGAAUGCAUGUAAGCCUGUCACAACAAUUUGUUUGUAGACUUAAAAUGCUGUAUGUUUAAUAUUUAUAGCAUUUACUUUUCAGAUUUGUAGGCUGUAGUUAUUUUGUUGUAAAACAAGAUUUGAGCUUUAAGGUUUAAUCUAUGACCAGUUAUAGUUUGUCACUCAUCUCCACACAUUGGUAAGGUUAAUGCAUUACUGUGGAAUAUUCCAGGUAAAGCAACAUCCACUGGAAAAGUUAAAGACAAAUCAUUAAUGGCCCAGUGAAAUUAGCCUGUGCAUUAAAAUUUUUAGUUAUUU